UUUUUUUUUUUAAAUUUGUAUUUUCUUAAUUAUUCAAACGCAUGCUACAUCCUGAUGUGACUAUACCAAUCAAAGAUACCACAGUGAAAAACAGAUAGGCCAACAGAGAAUAUAAAAAAAGGACACAGAAAUAUGUUAUAAAUAGUGUGACAUUUAUAAAAGCACCGAGCACCCAUAAAUGCUAUUGAAGUCAUCAGGGCCUGUGUGCGUUCACAUUUUUAAAAGUCAAACCCACUAAACACAGGAUUCACAUUACAUACUGGGAUUUAAUUUCAACUGUUUCCAGCUCGCUUAAGUGCGCAAAAGAGCUGCUCCCUGGGGGAAACAGAGGAAGAAAUCCACAUAUGACAGUAAGUCCCCAUACAUAGCUGAGUAUAUACAGCAUAACUUCAAUCUAGCAAGACAUUUAAGUAUAUGUUAAAUGGCCUAAUUAAUCUGCUAUUAAACUUCAGAAUUUGUUUUCAAAGUAUAUGUUGCAUAAUUUUCACUGACACUGAGAUGUCUCUGGGUCCUUGGAUAAUUCGGUACUUGACACAUAGGAGUAUCUGGCAACACAGCGAUGUUGACAACUCACAGAGGGCUUUUGCCCUAAUUAGGAAGGGUGGGGCGGCCUUAUCCCCAAAAAUGUCAGCAUUCCUGUAGGUUUAGGUAUUCAAGGAGUCUAUGAGAAAGUCAGUCCCAAUAUUUGCUGUCCCAGCCACAUAUGUAGUAUUUAUCUCUUCUUUGGAGAAUAUAUAUUCUCUGUGUGGCCCCUCUGUUUUAUAUGAACCAGUUUGGAAAAGCAGAAAAAAUAAAGGCGCCUCACACAAUGAAUAACUGGAGCUACACACCAGCCACACUCUUCCAGUUGCCUGCCUCCCUCUGUUGUAUGCCAGCAUACUGGGGCUGGUAUUUCGUGGAGUUUAAUUCCCAGGGUCACCUGCCCAGCUAUAGCCAAGCUGCAGAGUGCAAAAGACAACAGGAAAGAAAUGAUGGGGCCAGAUGAGCUUUACCACACAGAACAUGGGAGAUCAUGUAAGACAGAGCACUGUGGCACUUUCAAAGAGACACACAUUUGCUUCUGGCCCCCAUGGAGUUCCAAAUUCAGCAGGAACUGAGACUUCCCCUCACAAGCAAAAGCAGCAUCUUCAUCUUCAUCUUCCCGCCAAGUUUCCAUUGGCACACUUAAUAGCUAACUGGGGAAAGAAAAAUACAACCCACCCCUCCUUUGUUGAAAGAUUGCCAGUCCUGGAACAAGGAUGUUUGCAGGUUUAGACAGAGGAUUGGAUGGGAAUUCAUGUAGAAAAGAGAUCUCAGAAAGAUAAAUGUUCUUUCUACACGUGUCCCUUCCUCCUUACAUUAAAGCAUUGCAAUGUGUCACUGUAUAAGACUUGGGAGAAGGAAGAGAUUACUCCUACAUCUUCCUGAGUCCCUCACUCUAUCAAAACCUUUAUCUAUGACAGCCUCUCCCCCUGUCCCAGUUUCUGUCUUUGAAACUCCAGUCCCAGGCUUGUCACCUCUGCUUUUCAGGCAGUAGAUGAGUGGGAUUUGCUUCUCUCUUGGGGCAGAGGUCUGCUGUGCUGCUGGAAUGACACAUCAGCUGAGCUGCACCCCAUUGUCAAUGGGGAGUGCAGGAAAGGGUGUUUGUGGACACCUUGUGAGGGAGGGUGGAGGGAAAAGUGAGUGUGAUAGCCACAAACAAAUGUCGUGUAUGCAGGCAGCUGCUGGGGGCUGGGGGACUGUUGGGAAAUUUGUCAACACUGAUGAAUGCCAUAAACUUAAAUACGAGGGUAGAUCUAGCCCUCACUUAAAAACCCCCAGACUUUUCUUUAAAGCUGCUCCCUACCCUUACCUCAAAACCCUUUUCAAUAAUCACACCGAGAACCAGAGAGAGGGGCAGCAUUGCGUGAAGCAUCUUCAACACAUGCUUCUGCUGUAACCACACGUGUAACCCAGUUCUCUCAGAGUGAUUCAGGUGAGGUAAGGCAUAUGAUUUACAGUGCAUAAACAUAUCCAGAUUAUUACAACAGCCUUGGGUUAAGGAUCACUAUGCAUGCAGCCAAGACAGCAGAUGUGAAGAGGCAAUAAUAUGCAGCAGGGCAAUCAGGAUGCUUGUGAGCUGAAUAGGUGCUCUAGGACUUUUUGCUUCUUAUUGCUUUUCACCUGGCCAUGCCUCCAAAUGUUUCAGAUUUUGGACAACGAACCAUAGAUCAGUUCACAGAACAAUAAAAAUUAACACUCAGCAUGAGAUGAACAUCCAGGACAAAGAAGAAUUAAUAUCUAACAGUUGAAAAAUUAUUAAUAUUUCCCAGUGGAUAGAUAAAAAUAACUUAGGAAUGUUCUUUCUUCUUUAUCAUAACACCUGGUGACUGUUCUCUGUACAGACAGGCUGCAGUACGAAGGGAACUAAUAAGCACAUGAUUCCAUGAUUUAAAAAAAACAAACAAAAAAAACAAACCCAAGACAGGGAAAAUGUGACGAUGUUGCACAACAAGGAUGUGAUUCUCCAACAGCUUGCAUCUUUAAAAAUUAUUUGCAACUGUGGGAGAGACUGAAAUACCACUGUGCAGAUCAGAUGGUUUAGGCACUCUUUAGUGAUCCAGAACAGGAAAGGUUUUCUUGUAGGUCAGGUAGGAGCUGUGGAGUUUAGAGAUGAGAAUUCUAUUUUCAUGCAGUAUUGGCAUCUAAUUUUUCUGUGCCACUCUUUCCUACCUAUAAAAUGAAAGUUGUAUUAUUUGGCCUCCAGUGUUGUGCUUUCACAUGUGCACUACAGGCAUGUCAGAACAACAACUAUCUCUUGGUUAUCUCUUGUAAUGUCUGGGGUAAUACGGAUGUAAUUUUGCUGUGCUGUCAAGACAAGGAAUUAUUCAGGAAAGUAAUGUCCAGUAUAGAACUUGCUUUUUUAAAACUCUUUUUACCAGGUUUCUGGUCAACUUGAUACUAAUAAAUAUGUAAAAAUGUGACUAGAAAUACAAGGAGAGAAGUCACUUCACUAGGCACAGAAGAGUUUUUGCUCUUGUAGCUGCUACCUGGGUGAAGAGGAUGCUAUGAGGCAAGCUGCUGUUUCAGGUCCAAAAUUAUGUGAUGAGUUUAUGCAACAGCUUUCCUCUAUAAGUCACAAACUUUGUGAACAGUCGUUGUAACAACAAGGACAGAGAGGUGAGGAACACGAUAUUGCCCACUUUACUUCUAGCCUGGAGCAUACCCUGGGAAAUCCUCUAAGGGAAGCUGAAAUGCUUCCCAGUUGUACUGGUUGCUGCAAACAACAAACCUCCCUUUCCCAGCAUGAGAACAAUCCACAAGUCCACAGCAUUUCCUGGUAAAAUUCCUCACGUCACUUUGUGGAGUGAGAGUAAGAAGGACAGUUCCUUUGCAGGGUCCUCCAAAAACCCUAGAUAGAUUGUCUGGCUCCACAUGCACCUCAGAGAGACUCCUUCUCAAGUCCUCCCACUGUGCCAGUCUCAGGGAGAGCAUGAUCCACACACUGGGUUUUAUGAACAGAUGUUGCAGUGAUGGCACUGGCCAGCAGAAGAUACUCUCAGAUGGCACCAGGUCAAGGGAAAGCAGAAAGUCAGAGUGAGCUUGUGUGUAGCUCACACCAUACAAUGCUGCCUGCUAUUUGUGGGCCUGUUGCUUCUCUUCCCAACUCCACACAGAAAUAAUUCAUUAAGAUUAUUUAUAUUUAUUUAUUAUAAAUUAUAUAAAUUAUAAUAUUUAUAUAUUAUAAAUUAUAUAAAUUAUUAUAAAAACUACACAGGGUUUCUGGCAAUCCAUCCAAUGGAAAGCUAGUUUGCUUUCUAUUUGGUUGCCCAGGCACUUGUGUGAUAUCCAUACGGAAUUAUUUUCUUUUCCAGGUGACUCACACAACUAGUCUAAAAGAUGAAGCAUCAGGAUCCACAUUCAAACAAAAGUAUUAUCAGUGCAAAACUUUGAAUUCAAAGAAGAGGUACUGAGAUAUCCUGCAUGAUUCCAGUACUUCUUCCUUGCAUAUAACAUUCCAUUUUUAAUUAUAUGAUUGCAACCUAUUUUUUUUCUCCAAACUGGACUGUUGCCUCAUUAAAUACGCAAGACUAGACCUGCUGCUGGUUUAGUUAAGUAUUUCUUGAGUCCUUGCUUCAGUUGUUUCAGAAAUAUGAAGGGUAGGAAAGGGGAGGGAGUGGCUGUGGCUGUAUCCAUCUGGCCCCAAAUCCUGUCUCCAGCACUGUUCACAAGCAGAUGCCAACAGAGGAGAAGGAACAGAGCAAACAUGUAUCAUGCUUCCUUCUCAUCCUCUCCAAGCCUUCAACAGUUAUCAGCUCAGAAACACUGUGGUCUGGAAGUCUUUACACUUGGUAACUUGCAAUGGAUUUCUCUUCCACAAAAACAUCUGACCUCCAUGGAAGCUGUACAAGUUUUCUACAUCUUCAACACCUUCACAGAAGUAUUCCAUGGUUAUUCUGAAGGAUUGUCUUCAGCAAUAGGAGAAAGAAAUUCUUACCUUGGAUUCCAUCAUUCUAACACCACUAAGCAAGAUGCAAUACAAAGCAACUAUUUUUUUUUCUUUUAGAGUGCACUUUUUUUUCCUCUGGACACAGAGCAUCUCUGGAAUUGGAGUAACUUUUAAUUAUUUAUUUCUCCUGUUAAGAAUUUGCUUUAUAAAAAAUAUGGCUCUUGAAAAUUGGACGUUGUAACAAAUAGAUAGCAAUUUUAAUGAUAAAAGUUAACAGAUUUAUGGGGUAAAGAAUAAAUUAAAAUAUUUAUAGAAUCAGUAUUUUUAGGUAUAGUCUACAAAGAGAUGUAAAACUUAACAGCUAUGUGCAGAAGAUGGAGUGAUCACUGGUGUCACUGUUCUAUCUCAGAACAAAAACCCAAUUUGCUUAAAUGCAUUAGAGGAGGGUGUUUGAUAUUUUAUGUUGUCUUUGGUCUAUCUGGAUUUAUUUUUUAACUCAAAGAGUGACAUCUGUGUUUCAGAUAUAAUUUUUUAUACUAUUUAUAGGAAAAAAGUUCUCUUUGUUACAAGUCAAGUGUUUCAGAUGAACAUAUAUGUUAAUCUCAAUGACUAUACUCAAUUAGAUGCUACAGCAAAAUGUAAUUAUUUUGUGAAAAUAAAUAUAUACUACCAAUAAUUUUUGUUUUAGCUAAUUUUGAUUUUUUUUUUUCCUUUCCCUGGGCUUGGCCUGGAAUCGACCUGCCCCUAGCCAGGGCACAGGCUGAGCCUGUCAGACCAGUGUCUGAACAGUAAACAACAUCUCUAUUGCUAGCCUCAGCCUGGCUGAGGUCCUCUGUAAAUAUAGCUCUGCUCAAUAAUUAUAUUCUUAAUAUUAUCACCACUCUUCUGGUUCAUUUAUCUGUUAGCAUAUAUAGCAUUUCAGGACAACACUGGCCUCCACUUCUUAGCAGCAUUCAGUGUGGAGAAACUUUUCUCUGUACUUUUCUGUGUCUGGAUUUGAUGUCAUCUCCCAAAGCAUCAUUCAGCCACUGCAUGUGCCAGCUUGUGGGUUCUCCAUUGUUUAAUCCCUGUGGCAGGAGACUUCAAGCCUGCAGCACAGCUAUUUUAACUCCUUGGGCAGAUGUGGUGAGAUCGUGCCAUGCAUCUUUCAGCUUUCUAUUCAUCCUGAGUACUGUGUACUCCACUCAAAAAUCCCUCCAGCUUCAUACUUCACAUAAGGCUUGUAAAAUUCUGCAGAGAUUUGAUGCCUCUUACCCUGUCUACUCAGAGUCACUGCAGCCAUCACAUUCUUCUCUUGGCCGUGCUCAUGACAUCAUGUCCCUCCUGUAGCACUGGGAUAACAAAACACUGCCCAAAGAAUUCAACAAGAUUUUAGCAUUACUGCCCAUCAUCAAACAGUGUCAGUCUCCUCAUUAUUGCUUUGUGUGGAGCAGCAAGAAGGAAAAGACACAUAAAAUUCCUCCAACUAGUUUUAUUGAAGGCUUCAAAGACAAAUUACUCUUAGCUCAUGAGAAAGCUCCAACACUUGUUUCAGAGAGCAGGCACUGGGGCUCGAACACACAUUAGAACAUUGAGAAGGGAAAGUUAAGGCAAAUAAUACACAGAGAAAACUAUUUUCUCUCUUGUGUGGGACAAACCUUCUAUCCUAUUUUGUAUGAGAACACACAUGGCAUUUCCUAAUAUUACUUUAUUUCAGCUGCUAGAAAUUUUCCACUAUGGUGUUUAUUCAAUUCAGUAAGGGUGACCUGAAAUAUUUUCUUCCCCACUGUAAAAUCUAUCAUAUCUUUAAAUGUCAUGUCAGUACACGAAAAAAUGCCAGAAAACUCUUCAAGACAGCUGUCAUUCUAUGCCUUUCUGAUGCAUAUUUCUUAGCACAUUUACUGUCAUAUUUGUACACUUUCUGAUCAUUUUACUCUGGCUCUGACUGAAAAAAGAAAAGGAAAAUCUGGAUUACUGCACUGAUUCAGAUGGCAAUAUUACAGAUUCAAAACUGUGCAGUAUGGAGAUCUCCUUGUCAUGUGAUCCACAUGUGCAACAGGUUUUCAUGAUCUACUGUGAAUCUCUAAUAGAACCAUUUAUUCAAUACUGUAAUGGUUUACCUGGGCCUUCAUGUGUACACUGACACUUAUUUUUCUCUACCCUAUCUCCUUCAGCAACCUGUGAAUAUAAACACCCAGGGCAACAUGGUAUCUAUUAUUAAAAAUACCAGAUUGUUACUUUUAUUCUAAGUAAGUUAAUAUGUACACUUCUUUCUUCUACUUCAGAUACCUUAAAAUGUUUUACAGAGAAAUGUAAUGGAAAUAAAAUGCAUGCCUAGAAGAAGUUUAUACUGGCCUAAACCUAUUUAUGAAUGUGGCUAUAAAAACAAAUAUAUAUGCAUGGACAGAAUAUAUAAAUGAAUCAUCAGAAUAUAUCAAUAAAUUCUAGCAAGGCAGGGUGAUAGAAGAAUCACCUGAAUAAAGUAUACCACAUAUUUUAGUCCUCCAUAAAUAUCACAUUAUGCAAGAAAUUUCUUGCUCAGUUCUUUUCCCCUGAGGCAACUAUUAAGAAAGAAAAUGUAGGUUGAGCCUUGAUGCUUUAAACAAAACCAAUUUGGUAAUUUCUCUGUUGUGUAUGAAGUUUGUUAAUUUUUAAGUGUGAUGUUGAAAAUAGCAUUUUGAUUUUGGUGCCAUUUUGCUACAUAGGAAGAAAUAAUUUCUUUUUCUUUGUAAUUUCCCAUUACAAAGAACCAGGAAAAAUACAGUAAACCAGAAAUUUAUCAGCUACCUUGUAACAAUCAAGAAGGAACAGAUGACAACAUGUUUCCUUACAUAAUACUACUGAAUUAAGUGAAAUAACUACUGAACUAAAAAAAGAAAUGUUGGCUAUUGCCUUACAAUAAAAAUACAACAUGACAAAGCAGUAAGACUUCCAGAUUAUUUGUUUUUUUCACUUCAGCUCCGCAUGAGAUAUCUGCAGGUUUUUGCCAUGGUAAAAAAGUGGUCUUUACAUAUCUUGUACCAGCCUGCACUUCUUCCAGCCAAGGAUCCACAGCUGUUUCCAGCUUUAGACAUCACUCUAGGUUACUGCUGUGGUUUAGACCCAGCUGGCAACCAAGCCCCCUGAGCCAUUUGCUCUCUCUUUCAGGUGAGAACUAGAAGGGUGAAAGUGAGAAAACUGAGAUAAAGACAAUUUAACAGGGUAAGCAGAAGCCAUGCCACAAGCAAAGUGAACAAGGCAUUCAUUCACUGCUGCCCACAGGCAGGCAGCUGUUCAGCCAUUCCCAGGAAAGCUGGGCUUCAUCAUGUGCAACAGUGACUUGGGAAGACAAACGCUGUCACCUCAAACAUCCCCGCCUUCUUCCUUCUUCCCCCAGCUCUAGCUGCCAGCAUGAUGCUGUGUGGUGUGGGGUAUCCCUGUGGUCAGUAGGGGUUGGCUGUCCCGGCUGUGUCCCCUCCCAACACCCAGUGCACCCCCAGCCCUCUCGGUGGUGGUAGUGGGGGGGGGGGAGGGAUGAGAGAGGCAGAAAAGACCUUGAUGCUGGUUAUUGCUGCUCAGCAAUAACCAAAACAUCUCUAUAUUAUCAACACUAACCU
rnacentral:lncRNA from 1 species